UGACUGUGUGAGCAGCAAACACCCUUGCUUAGAGCUGUAGACCAGGCCAUUUGCAAGAGCAGCUCUGUGCCUGCAGCAGCUGCCUCUCAGGGGUAAAUGCUAGAGAAGAACUGGGCCUGUGGAGCUGUAUUAACUGGCAUUUCAAAGAGUUGUAGAGAAUCCUGAAGUGCAUUCAGAGGUCAAAAGGAGUGUGCCAUUGCUGGAAAAAGAGAGGAGGUCCAAAGACAAGGGGCUUCAUGAUGCUGUGAUUCUGUAUAAACAGAAAGAUAAAAUCAAGAGAAUGCUGAAGUUAACUGCCUACAUGACUCUGGAAUAUGGACAGCUUUGGAGUCCAAGAGAGGAUGAGCUUUGUUGCAUAAAACUGUGGUUUGGAACUAACACUUACUCUGGGGCAAAGAAUCUAUUGAAAAAGUUUGAAGAACUCUAUUGAAUAGGAUAGGACUGUGGCAUGCAGUCACGGUGAGAGAGGAGGGAGAUGCUACCAGCGUGAUGGAAAAAUCCUACAAACGACACUUUUCUUUGUGUACCAGAGGGACAAGAAAUCACACCAUUUAAAAGAAAGAAGCAGCAAGGAUUCUCCCUCUUGCAACAACACUUCAGCCACAGGAAUUUCUGUAAGUGCUGUUUCACUUCUCCCCUCAGCUUCCCAGCAUUGUCCUGCAGUUCAGACUGUCACUAGCACAACCACGUUGAGGAGCCUGUCCCAAGAAAGGAUUCCUGAUGGGACAUUUCCUGUUCUCAUUGCUGUCUUUCUCAUGAGAAUCCACUCUCAGACCCCAUGCCUCCUUGUGGACUCUGACAGAUGGUGGCAUCCAACUGGACCCUGACUGAGCAAAAUGGUGGAAAAUUGUGGGGAGGUGGAUUUUUGAAGAUAUCAUCACAUGCUCAAGGUUCCAGUUUUGUCCCUAGUGACACUGUCCAGAAAGCUGUGGCCUUCACAGGAGCGAAGGCUUGGCCAUGCACUUCUACAAAAACAGAGAAGAAGAUCAGUGCCUGAUCUGCAAAAUCAGCCUGUGACAUCUUGUACAGGAGCAGAUGUGCGCAAGUGGCUACUGUGGGUACCCUACUCCAAAAGAAGGUGGAGACCAACGAAGGAGACCUCAGCCUGGAUGUAGCUGGGCACCAGCAUUUAACAGGCCCAGAUGGAGUGCAAAUGACUCAGGUAUGGAGCUGCAAUUUGCCUUUCUCAAAGUGCUAGGACUCUCUUGGAUUCAAGUUCUUGUGCGCAGGUAGGUGGCCACAUUAUUUCAAACCUGUCACUGAUUCAUCUUUUAUUUUGGUGAAGAAGCAGCAGAAGAAAUUUUUUCUGUGGCCAUCCAGACUUGGAUGGAUUGUGCACGCACAUACACCCACACACUUGCCUGUACAGUUUCCAGUUCU